GAUGAACGCUGGCGGCGUGCCUAAUACAUGCCAGUCGAGCGAACAGACGAGGAGCUUGCUCCUCUGACGUUAGCGGCGGACGGGUGAGUAACACGUGGAUAACCUACCUAUAAGACUGGGAUAACUUCGGGAAACCGGAGCUAAUACCGGAUAAUAUAUUGAACCGCAUGGUUCAAUAGUGAAAGACGGUUUUGCUGUCACUUAUAGAUGGAUCCGCGCCGCAUUAGCUAGUUGGUAAGGUAACGGCUUACCAAGGCAACGAUGCGUAGCCGACCUGAGAGGGUGAUCGGCCACACUGGAACUGAGACACGGUCCAGACUCCUACGGGAGGCAGCAGUAGGGAAUCUUCCGCAAUGGGCGAAAGCCUGACGGAGCAACGCCGCGUGAGUGAUGAAGGUCUUCGGAUCGUAAAACUCUGUUAUUAGGGAAGAACAAAUGUGUAAGUAACUAUGCACGUCUUGACAGUACCUAAUCAGAAAGCCACGGCUAACUACGUG
rnacentral:rRNA from 1 species